GUCCAUGAAUACCUGUCAAGUAGGUCAGAGCCUCGAAGGGCACCUCUUCGUAAUCAUUGAGGAACAUCUGGAUCUGCCGCAUGCUAAUCCUCAGGUCAGAUUCAUUGAAUUCAUAAGGGAUGUUCCAACCUGAAAGAGGCAGAGAAGAAUUACAGGCUUCAGACCCGUGAGCUCUUAAUUUCCACUCAGACUGAGCAUGUAAGCUCUGGCUUCUCCUUGGCAGCCACAAUGCCAAGGAGUUGAUCUUGGAGACCCAAGGGUGUGAUCAUGAAGUUGAGGAGACAGACUUUCACGGCAACUUCAGGGAGAUAAUGUGGAUUCCUCAGACGAGUGGUUAUAUAGAACUUAAAUUCCCUUGAGUAUUCAAUAAUAUUUUCACCCAGUCUCAUGUACUCCACCCCCUGCUGUUUGAAUGUUGCCUUCAGCAAGAUGGGUUCAAUAAAGGCAUCCAGCUCUUCUCCAACGUUUUCCAACAAGACAGGGGUGCCAAACUGCAGGGCAUUUUCCAGAGUCCUCACGUAAUUGGUAUCAGAGAACUUGAUGACAGAUAGCUUGUUUGUUUUUUCCAUAUUCUUCACCCACUUAUUGGCCUGUCCCUGAGGGUCAAUCAUCAAAGGCCAGCGCCUGGAAUUGGACACAAUGAUGCCAUUGUCAACAGAGAAGGAGUCAACAGGAAGCCCUGCUAUCUGCCAGGCACGGAUUUUUAUGGGGUCCCCUAAGGUGUUGCUGAGGCUAAAAUCAACGGAGCCUGGGAUGACCUUGUCCUUACAGGAAACCAACCAUUCAUUUUGGCAUUGGGCCCGAUAAUCCACCGUGAAGGCACCCAGGUAAGCCACGGUCCCAGAGGCUAGCAAAACAUCCCCGGUCAGGUUAUCAUAGCGGAUCCCCAGCUGCCGGGCAGCCUCUGUCCAUCUGUCCUUCUCUCCUCCAAGGCCACUGAUAAGCUUCUCUGCCCUGACGAGCUUCUGGGAGCAGAUUUCUAUAUUUUUCUCCAGUGAAUUUUUCUUUCUGUUCAUCAGUUCAAACUCGUCAUUGAGAUCUUGGAGUCGGUCUUCCACCAGCUUCAGCUCCGCCCGUUUCUGGUUCAGUUUUUGCAUUUGGAUCUCCAGCUUCCCCUCAGCCUCCCUCAGUCGCUCCCGUUUGGGAGCCACAACCUUGGCCACUCGGUCAUACACUUCCAUGGCCCUCACCCACUUGCACAGGCCCUCACAGGCAGAUGAUACAUUUUUAAUGACAGCUGGCUGGAAAUCAGGGUGAUCAAUAAACCUUUCCCGGAUUCGCUUCAUGAUCACCG
rnacentral:lncRNA from 1 species